AAGAAAUGCAGAACAAGUGAUAAAGAAUGGAAAAUCUUCAGAGGUUCUUGACAGAAGUCUAAAAUAUUGUGUAAGAUAAGAAGUUAAGUUAAAUGAUUGUUGGAACUGUGUGUGUGUGUGUGUGUGUGUGUGUGUGUGUGUGGAAUGCCCUCUGCAGAGAUGCUGGCCUGGGGCAUACAAUCCCGUCUUU